rfam:Candidatus Micrarchaeota archaeon CG1_02_55_22 cg1_0.2_scaffold_4148_c, whole genome shotgun sequence.
AUAGAGGCUACUAGCAAGGCCGGCCAGUGGAUGAAUUGGCUUGAGUAGCGAUGAAAGGCGUGGCAAGCUGCGAUAAGCCGCGGUGAGGAGCAUGCAUCCUUAGACCCGCGGAUACCUGAAUUGCGCCGAUAGGCGCGAAGACCCGCCGAAUUGAAAUAUCUUAGUAGGCGGAGGAAAAGAAACCAAUUGGGAUACCGUUAGUAGUGCGAACGAAAACGGAAUAGGGCAAACCGAAUGCGACGCCGCGAGGCGUCGACGUAUGUGGUGUUGAGGUCCAGCGUUUAAUGGUGUCGUCAUAGCCGAAGAGAACUGGAAAGUUCUGCGAUAAAGCGUGAUAGCCGCGUAGGCGAAAUGUCCGACAGCAUGAGCUGGUCACCUGAGUAGCGUUGCCUGAUUUGGCAGCGUGAAUGUGGGAGGCAGAAACUUCCAACCCUAAACAUAACUCAAGACCGAUAGCGUACUGAGCGUAGCGUGAGCGAAAUUUGAAAAGCACCCCGAAAGGGGGGUUAAAAGUGCCUGAAAUUGGCCGGCUACAAAAAGGUAAGGCGAUAAAGGCCCGCAAGGGUACGGCGUUUUACCAUCCUUCUUGAAGCAAGAGCCAAGGAGUUUACGGUAGUGGCAAGCAUUAUGCAUAGCGAAAGCGAAACCGCGCAACCCGCAAGGGCCAGGCGGAGAGUCGUAAUUGGCUCUAAGUCACUAUUGUAAGACCCGAAGCCUGUGUGAGCUAAGCGUGCGCAGGAUGAAGCCGUUCUCCAGAAUGGUGGAAGUCCGAAACCGAUGAUGGUCUAUCCUCUCGGGUGACGUGCGUUUAGGGGUUAAAGUCCAUACGAACCAGGCGUUAGCGGGUUCCCUUCGAAGUGAACCGCAGUUCAGCCUCAGCGGAGGCAGGUAAUAGGUAGAGCUACCGAUUUGAGAGACCGGGGAGUAAAAUCCUCACUCUCUUGUCAAACUCCGAAGCUAUUACCGCCGUAGAAGCUGGGAGUUGGCUUGUCCGAGUUAAGCCCGGACGGCGAGGGGGGAACGACCCCCACUGUGGUUAAGGUCCCCAAGUAGAUGCUAAGUGUUAAUCAGCAAGGUGUCGAAUUCCUCAGACAGCGGGGCGGUAGGAACAGAAGCUCCCAUCCGUUAAACAACGCGUAACAGCGGACCCGUCAAGGUUUUCGGCGCUAUAAACUCUCGGGACUAAGCAUUUCACCGAUACCACAGCCCACCACAAUAGUGGUGAUGGAGUAGAAGGGCGAACGGCUUGCGUAGAAGCAGGGGGGUAAUCUCCUGUGGAGCGAGUUGUUAUGAAGAUCUUGGUGCUAGUAGCAUCUAAUCCGGGCGAGAAUCCCGGACGCCGCAAGGGCAAGGGUUUCUAGUCAACGUUAGUCGGACUAGAGUAAGCCGAUCCUAAGACUAAACGUAAACGUGAUGUCGAAAGGGAAACGUGUUAACAUUCACGUGCCUCUCAGGAGCGCGCGGCAACGCUAGGUCACAUCUGACGCUUUUGGAUAAGUCCUGCAGCGGAGACGCUGUAUAAAAGAACCAGGGCUGGGAAGUCUCGUCACGAGGAGCACCAGCUCAAGUCUUGAAUUACCCGCAAGGGUGGACGGAUUCCAAGAGCCACUGAAAAAGGUGUGGCAAGUAUUCUGAGAGAUCGUACCAAGAACCAGUACAGGUGCCCUGGCAGAAAAAGCCAAGGCGUGGCAGGAGAACUAGGGUAAGGGAAUUCGGCAAACUAGCCCCGUAACUUCGGGAUAAGGGGUGCCUAACCUUCUUUGAAAACAGCAAUGUCGUAGGGGAUGGUUAGGUUGCAAUGACCAGGGAUCGUCGACUGUUUAGCAAAAACACAAGUCCCCGCUAGGUGGAAACACUGUGUACGGGGGCUGACGCCUGCUCACUGGCAGUAUCUCAAACUCCUUUUCAAGGGAGCAAAGGACUGCUAAAGAGCGGGUCUAACUCUGAGACUCAACUUAAGGGUCUGUCGAAUUCGGCCAUAUGCUGGAAGUCCCGACGAGGACGCUCCUGAGAAAGGAAUAAAGCGUUUAAGGUUGAAGGAUAAUCAGCAGGAAACCGCUUAAGGUGGAUUGAAAUUGAACGGGACAAGCGCGCCAAGCAAACUCAAGUACUUGAAGUACUAUUUGCUCGGAGUCGCAGAUUCUGAGGGAUGCUUCUGCAUCUCCCUGAAAAAGGAGCCGACCACGAGGUUCGGCUUCGCUCUAGACCCAAUGUUCCACGUAACCCAGAACGACGCAGGCACGGACGUGCUUGAACUAUUCAAGCAGGCGCUGACGUGCGGCCGAGUGAUGGAGAAGUCCGGCCAACCGGGAACUAAGCUGUUCAUGGUUGACAACCGGAGGCAACUCGUGGAGAAGGUCAUACCGUUCUUCGACAAGUACGAGCCGGUCCUGAAGGCGAAAGACUUCGCCCUCUUCAGGAAGAUCGUGCUCGGGCUUGAGGAAGGAAAACAUUCCACUCUGAAAGGGUUCGAGGAGCUCGCGCGGUUGUCGUUCGAGAUGAACGGCAACGGAAAGCAGCGCAGGUACUCCUUGGACCAAGUGCUCGAAACUAUUCGGGCGCGGGCGGGCUCCUCAGAGACUAUACGCCGAACGCCCAAGUAGGGCGAAGAUAUAGUCCAAACAAUUUCGUAAGAAGUUGAUAGCUUAAGGUAGCGUAAUACCUCGCCGCUUAAUUGGCGGCUCGCAUGAAUGGCGUAACGAGCGAUCCGCUGUCCCUAUCUUAGACCUGGUGAACCUACUACUCGGUGAACAUGCCGAGGAUUUCUAGGGGGAAACGAAGACCCCGUGGAGCUUAACCACAGUCUGUUGUUGUAACGCGGUUGGGGAUGCCCAGCGUAAGCAGGAGCCGUUAUGUGUGCGAUUCCGGUCGUACAAUAGGCAACAAUGUAACACUGCUCUUUUUUGACUGCGUUACUAACGCGUCACGCGGACAGCUGCAGAUAGGUGGUUUGACUGGGGCGGUACGCCUUCGAUAAGAAAACAAAGGCGCCCAAAAUUCAACUCAAGUGCGUCAGAACUGCACUGUAGAGGGUCAAAGACAAAUGUUGGAUUGACUGUAUACUUAACAAAAUGGUAUGCAGGUACGAAAGUAGGGCUUAACGAACAAACAUGUCCCUUUUUUUGAGGGCUGUUUCUGGCAGACAAGCUACCCCGGGGGUAACAGGUUCGUCGCGUGCGAGAGUUCAUAUCGACCACGCGGUUUGAUACAUCGCUAUCGGCUCGGGUCAUCCUGGCGGUGCAGGAGCCGCCAAGGGUUGGGUUGUUCAUCCAUUAAAGACCCACGUUAGUUGGGUUCAGAACGUCAAAUUGGCGUUGCUAACUCGUAAGAGUUUGAAAAAUUAAACCAGCUCAUAU